UUUCUGAUGCAUGACUAGAGGGUGGCCUCGUUCUUUGACUACAUGGCUUUUUUUACUGAUCGUGAUGCAUCAAUGUAAACUUCAAGUCCUUCUCAAAGGUGCUACAGUCAUCUCUUAUGUUAGUGGACGAGACUGGCAAGAGAUUGUAGGCGAAUAUGGUUUGAUUUGUGCCACUGCAAAACCCCAUUUGAGGUUGAGGAGAUCCCAAAGAAUUUCCCUUUCAAACACACCGACAAGAAGUGGCACAAUUCUGGUUUCCAUGCUGAGCCUAAUCACUGGAUGUUAGGCGGAAGGACAAGGACGACAAAGAGAAAGACGAUGACCAGGAAGAUGGCGGGAAUGCCCCACAAAGUCCAGCAUUCUCCUCAGAGUCACAGUCUCCAAGAAUGACGUCCCAAGCCUCGAGUUCACCUGCAUCGCCUACCCGACGAGAUCACGAUCGACACCUUGCCCGUUAGGCAGCCGGUUAGGAACGACUUGGAGGAGAUGAUUGCAUACGAGGGUUCUGAUUUCAAUUAAGUUCACAAAUCCAUGGCUUGGCCGUUUUAAUUUUCACAGCUAGCAGCUGAUGCUGCAACCAAACUCUUUGAUUGUUCACUGAUUUCUGAUGUUGUAAAAAGAACGCAUUCUGAUUGGUUAACAACUGCUUUGUUGAUGAUGUACUCCACUUGGUCUUUGUCUUAUGUAGCGACCUCGUCGAGAACCUGCAGAGGGCAUUCCACAAGUGCGUGGAGCUGCGGUCUGCUAUGGGGUGAUGCAGUCCUCUCUUAUGUUAGUGGACGAGACUAGCAAGAGAUUGUAGGCGAAGAUGGGUUGAUUUUUGUGCCACUGCAAAACCUCAUUUGAGGUAUGGUGUUGUCGUGAUGUACCCAUUAGUUGUGCAGCUACCAACUUGGACGAGUACUCGAUUUAUGUUUACCGAACAAUGUAUAUGAAGUGGUUAUUUCAGCCCUGGAAGACCAAGUGAAGUGACAGAAGAACUUGCCAUGGAGGUUUGAGGAUUAAAAUGUGCAAAUUUGGGUUGUUCCUCCUUUGUAUAAGUCAGUACUCCAAUAUUUUGGCAUGUGGAAAGGUGUUGAAGCAACAUUCUUUUUGUUUGUUUGUCAAGAUGAAUAAUGUGUUCCUCUUCAGCUUUAGUGAUUUGUAAUAUUAGAUGGUUUCUUAUUCUGCUGCUUAGGAAUUGCAACUAUGUUUUGCUAGAGCAAUUAUGUGCGCAAGGCUAUUGUGUUAUGAUUAGUGAAGUUGUUAUCAUAUCAACUAUCAUAUCUUGUUCGAGACCCUACAUUUGAUGAUG